rnacentral:tRNA from 1 species
AUCUCUAUGUUGCAGUGGUCAUCACGUGCGUCUAACACGCGCAAGGUCCCCAGUUCGAUCCUGGGCGGAAAGA